GGAGUAUUGGAAUAUAUCCAGAGCCCAAAUCCUUGAGUCUUAGCAGCUGAAGGACGUCAAAUGUUCUCCUUAGGCUGAAAAGCAUUUGGCACGCUCCCGGAGUGUGUCAGGACAAGACUGGCACCGUGGUGCUCCAGGGACCACGAGGAAAACCUUAGGAUUACAGCUGUAACUUGGCCACUGCUUUCAGUUUCAAGCCUCUCAACCCGUCUGAAACGGAGCGAUGUCCCAGCAUGAUGCACUUAGCACAUCUGAUUGCUUAAUUAUUAUCUGCCUUUCCACACAGCUAGAAUCACAGCUUCACCUGCUCAUGUGGCACCCACAUGUGCUGUCCUGAACAUCAGUGUGUGAGCGGCUUGGGCUCAUUGCCACUCUGGUAUCUUCUCCUGCCUUUGCUGAAGCUCUUCGUUCCAACUGCAGCUUCUGCACACUCCCCUAGAGUAACAAAUAUUGAGCUGAAAGAAGCCUCAAGGCAGAGGUGGAGACAGAACUACAUAGGCAAAAACCCACUUUUGUUAAAACCUGCUAGUAAAGUUAUGUCUGGCAAAAGAAUGCAGAUAAGAAGAAAAGGCAAGUGGGAAGAUUCCAGAAAUCAGGUUCUCCACAGGCAAUUCAGUCUCCUCCACUGCUAAAUGGGUAUAUUGACAGCUACAACUGGAAGAGCAAGGAAAGACUACAGGCGUUAAGUCUUUGAGGCUUCCAGUGCAACCACGAAGACAUUUCUUCCUUGUCUCACCAGGGGAGUCACGAUGGCAAGUAUCUUGCUUGUUCCUGCUGUG